AACGAACGCUGGCGGCAGGCUUAACACAUGCAAGUCGAGCGCCCCGCAAGGGGAGCGGCAGACGGGUGAGUAACGCGUGGGAACCUACCCUUUACUACGGAAUAGCUCCGGGAAACUGGAAUUAAUACCGUAUGUGCCCUACGGGGGAAAGAUUUAUCGGUAAAGGAUGGGCCCGCGUAAGAUUAGCUAGUUGGUGGGGUAACGGCCUACCAAGGCGACGAUCCUUUAGCUGGUCUGAGAGGAUGAUCAGCCACACUGGGACUGAGACACGGCCCAGACUCCUACGGGAGGCAGCAGUGGGGAAUAUUGGACAAUGGGCGAAAGCCUGAUCCAGCCAUGCCGCGUGAGUGAUGAAGGCCUUAGGGUUGUAAAGCUCUUUCAGUGGGGAAGAUAAUGACGGUACCCACAGAAGAAGCCCCGGCUAACUUCGUG
rnacentral:rRNA from 1 species